CUUGCCUUUCGGCAAUCCAUGUUCUGGUAUUGGAACUAUCCAGAAAAGAUGAGUAUGGCCCCUGUGCAAGGAUGACAAACAAAGUCAUGAAGCGUUUCAUAUUUUU